rnacentral:rRNA from 1 species
GUGGAUUAGAUACCCUGGUAGUCCACGCCGUAAACGAUGAGCACUAGGUGUCGGGGUCGCAAGACUUCGGUGCCGCAGUUAACGCAAUAAGUGCUCCGCCUGGGGAGUACGUACGCAAGUAUGAAACUCAAAGGAAUUGACGGGGACCCGCACAAGCAGCGGAGCAUGUGGUUUAAUUCGAAGCAACGCGAAGAACCUUACCAAGGCUUGACAUCCCUCUGACAGAUCUUUAAUCGGAUCCUUCUUCGGACAGAGGUGACAGGUGGUGCACGGCUGUCGUCAACU